UCAAUGGUCGAUGAAGCGUUUGAGUUGUCUGAAAGGAAACCGCAAUUGUCAGAAAUAGAGAUCUCACUAGAAUAUAAGUGAGUCUUGUCAGAGUUGAUGGUGGCUACGAUGGAUACAUCAUUGGCGGUAUGAAACCGUUUGGUUAUUGUAGUCUGGUCGGUUUUGAUGGAGUAUGUGAGUGAUUUUUUUUAUGGUUCAAAGGAGAGGAUGGUAGGGUGGUGCGUGAUUG
rnacentral:lncRNA from 1 species